rnacentral:lncRNA from 1 species
AUCGUAGUUUAUACUAAAUAUAGAAGAAAUUAUCUGUGGUUAUGUUAGCGAAACGAACAAAAAAACAUCUAAAUCUUGCGCUCCUAGGGAUCUUUAUAUAAAGGCUUUACUUCACCACUGAUAUCAUCAGUCAACUUAUAUCCAUUCUCCCAAAAUCAAAGAUGCAUACACAAAUGGUCUCUGUCGUCUUUACGCUCCUUCUUGCGACACAUUUUGCUGAGGGAAUUUUCUUUCCCGCUGCAGCUGUUGUUCCAGGGGCUGUUGCAGCCACUGGGGCUACAGCUAUUGCAACAUCCAUUGCACCGAAUCUUCUUGGAAUCGCAGGGGCAGCUGCUGGAGCUAAAAUCCUGGCUUAGGUGCUCUUGCUUUAGCCAAUCGACGUGGAGGAGGAGGAGGAGGCAGAAACAGACGUCGACGAACAAGAUUCAGAGGACGUCGUGAUGUGGAUUCUGAGGGAGAGGACAGUACAGUACAAGAGGAGAUUGACUCCAGUCCCUAUAUCAAAAUUAUUCAUGAAUUAGAGCCAGAGGAGUGUAUGCGAAAAAUGAUUUGCAGUUUAGCAGCCUCGAAUAAACAGGAUAAUCCCAUUUUGUUUGCCUUUGGGAAUAAUUUGGAAAAAUCAUCAAUCGAUAAGGAUGCCUUUAAAAUUGGAUUUGACUACAAAAUUGCUGCCAAGUUUGGAAGUUAUGUCAAGGAUAUUAGGAAAUGUGAAAUUAGAUACAAAUGUUCCAUUGCCACAGAUCAACUUUUGGAUAUUGCCAAUCUCUAAGUAUCCUUACUCUAGUUUAUCAUGAUAAGCAUUUCCAAUAAAAUUAUUCUUAAUUUUAAUUUGUUUCUUAUAAUGUUAUCAACAUAAAUCCUUAUUAUAAAAUAUUAAAAUGGUGAUUUUUUUUUUUUUUUAUUUGUACACUAACUUGAUUCCAUACAAAUAUGAAAUUAUUCCAGAAUGAUUUUUUAACGAAAUAUACUUACAGAUCCCUGCCUAA